UACGAAGGGGGCGAGCGUUGUUCGGAUUUACUGGGCGUAAAGGGCGCGUAGGCGGUCACGACAAGUCAGUUGUGAAAUCUCCGGGCUUAACUCGGAACGGUCAACUGAUACUGUCGGACUAGAGUGCAGAAGGGGCAACUGGAAUUCUCGGUGUAGCGGUGAAAUGCGUAGAUAUCGAGAGGAACACCUGCGGCGAAGGCGGGUUGCUGGGCUGACACUGACGCUGAGGCGCGAAAGCUAGGGGAGCGAACGGG
rnacentral:rRNA from 1 species